rnacentral:lncRNA from 1 species
UCUGAACAAGCAUAACUCCCAUGUUCAUGUGCAUGUACAUGUACAUAUAUAUACACCUUUUUAUUUAUAUGUAUACAUACACGCUAACGCACAUAGACAUAUACAUUUACAUAUAUUUUUGCUCAUGUAUAUUUUUCUUUUUAUACAGGUUACGAGUCGAAACCAAAACAUGGAUUCGUGAUAGUCAUGACUUAUUUGAUUAUGAAGCUCAACAAAUAAACAAAAAAAGUUUUUUAAUUUCCACUCCAAUCAAACUCUUUCGUGAUAGAUCAAGAGUAUCUUGUGUAGCUGAUAAUCCUCAAAACCUGCCUAACACAUGGCAGGAUUAUCUUUUAUCUGUUCGACAAGAGGAUGGUAAGACCUGACAAGUAUGUAAUAACACCGGCGGAAAACACACUGUACCCUCAAUAUAAUGCGAAAAAAAUGUGGAUUAUAGUUAAGGAUUUACCUGAAAAACAUUACACAUUAAAUGAAAAUGAUAUUAUAAAAUUAGGGAGAUUCCGACUUAAAGUAAGACAAUUUAUAGAAUCAUCAGAAACAUUAAGUGAAUUAAAAUUAGAUGAUUUUCCAUCAAAAAAAUGUGAAAAGGUUAUAAACACAAAUGAUGUACAAUGUAGAAUAUGUUUAAUGGAAGGGGAACAAGAGAAUGAUCCAUUGAUUUGUCCAUGUGAUUGUAGGGGUUCUAUUAAAUAUGCUCAUUUAAUAUGUUUAAGAAAAUGGAUAAAUGGUAGAUUAAAUUUGAAGGAACAACUUUCUACUGGUUCCAUUUUUAUAAGAGAUAUAUGUUGUGAAUUAUGUAAAACAAAAUAUCCCAAAGCCAUUGAACAAAAUAAUGAAUCAAUAAAAUUAGUUAAAAUACCCGAUUUAAAAACUCCUUUAAUAGUAUUAGAUAAUAUAAUUGGACAAACUACAAAAGGUGUACACUUAAUUAGUUUUGCUGAUAAAAAAGAAUUUAAACUAGGAAGAGGACAUGAAUCAGAUGUCCGUAUACCUGAUGUCUCAAUUUCUAGAUAUCAUGCCACUAUAAAAUAUGAAGAUGGAUUAUUUAUGUUAGAAGAUCAUAAUUCAAAAUUUGGAACAUUAGUGGCACUAAAAAAAGCAAAAGAAAUAUUACCAAAAUCAACUAUGUCAUUACAGGUAGGUAGGAGUGUUGUUAAUUUUAGUGUAGAUAUUAAAAUACCAUUUAAGAGUAAUACUAUUGAUAUUAUUGAAAAUAAAGAAUUUAUUGAAACACCUAAAGUAACAAUCAGUGAAGUAUUAAAUCAAAAUGAAGCUCAAUCUUCUAAUACAAAUGUUACCCUUUCUGUUAAUAAUGCUACUGUCAUUAUUAAUAAUACUACUGCCUCUAUUGUUACACCUACUGCAACUGGUACCAUCGAUAAUAGUAUCAAUAAUACCACAAUUACUACUACUAUUACUACUACUACUGCUAAUACUACCGAUAUUACAAAUAUUAACAGUAACAAUAAUGACAGUAACAAUAAUGACAGCAACAAUAAUGACAGCAACAAUAAUGACAGCAACAAUAAUGACAGCAACAAUAAUAACAGUAAUAAUAAUGACAGAAACGAAAAUAACAGCAACAAUAAUAACAGCAACAAUAACAACAGUAAUGUGAAUGAAAGCAAUAGUGCUGUGGAUCAUACAAUUACGAGACGCGUACGAACGACAUCUAUUGUUUCUUCAUAUAAUGUUGAUAAUAUUGAAUCUGUAUUAAAUUGUCCAAAUAAUUUUGAUAUUUCAAAUAAUAACUGUGAUAACUUGAAUGAUAAUAAUAACAAUAAUAAUGUACCAAAUAUAAAUGAAUUAGAUUCUUCCAUAUUUCAUGAAGUCAUAGAGAAUAAUCAAUUGCCUGUAUACGAUAAUCAAAACAAUACUCCCACUGGCCCAAUAAAUGUAUAUAUAGAUCAAUUGGAUGCACCUACUAUUGAACAUAAUAUUGAUUCAGGCAAUGAUGAUAACUAUGACGAAAUUGUAAUGAUAGAUACACCAAUUAAUUCACAGAAUAUUGUUUAUGAUCAUAUUGAUAAUGAAGUAGACGAAGAUAACUACUUGGACGCACGUAACGAUGAUGAUGAUGAUGAUGAUGAAGAAGAGGACGAGGAAGAAGACGAAGAUAAUUUAAGGGAAUAUUACAAUGAGGAUGAUGAGGAUGAAAAUAAUAACAACAAUAGUAGUAGUAGUAAUAACAAUACUAAUAGUAAUAAUGAUAAUAAUAAUAAUAAUAAUCAUGAUAAUUAUAACGAUAACUAUAGUAAUGACAGUAAUAAUAACAACAGCAGCGAAGAUCAUAACAACAACAGUGAAGAUCAUAACGACAGUAGUAACAAUAAUGAUGAAAAUAGUAAUUAUAACACGUGUGUAAAUUUAAACAAGAAUAACAACAACAUAAUAAAUAAUAACCGAUAUAACAGUUGUAACAAAAUCAAUGAACUUAACAACAGAACCAUUAUCGAUUCUAAAGUAGAUAGUGGAUAUUACCAAAAUUUUACUUCAAAUAACGAUAAUGAUUUAGAAAUAAACUAUGAUACAAUUAAAAAGAACGAAAUUGAUGUUCUAAAUGAUUUUAUUAAUCAAAAUGGUGUGUAUUAUAAUAAUAAUUAUAAUAAAUAUAAUCAUGCAAAUUUGAACACUUAUUUUUUAUUUUUUAAUGAUAUAAAAACACCACAAAAAAAUAUUGCAAACGAUACAAAUAGUAUGAUAAAUAAUAAUAAUAAUAAUAAUAAUAAUAAUAAUAAUAAUACGAAAUAUGAAAGUAAAGAAUAUAACAGUGAGAGUAACUAUAACGUUGUGUGUUAUCAUAACACAUGCAAUAGUAAUAAUUUUUGUUAUCAUGACAAUGUAUAUAACACAAAUACUAGCUCAAAAAAAAUAUUUGAUAUUGUACAAAACACUAAUGCUAAUGAUACUAUUACUACUAAGGAUGUAACUGCUACUACAGAUGUAACUGCUACUACUGAUGCAACUGUUACAACUGAUGUAACUGCUACUACGAAUGUAAUUACUACUGAUAUAACUACUACUGAUGUAACUACUACUGAUACAAAUGCUACUAAUAAUAACAAUAUUAAUUAUAAUAAUUAUUAUUAUCAAAAUUGUCAUGAUUUAAAUUUAGUCGAUCGACUUCAUUAUCCUAAUUUUAAUAGUAAUAAACAUAUGUCAAAUAAUUCAUUUUGUAUAUAUGGAGGAGAAACUAAUAGUGAUGAUUAUACAGAUGCAGAUCGCUUAACCAAAAACAGUGACAAAUCAAUAAAAAUAAAAUAUAAUAACAUGAUUGAGGAGGGUGGUAGUAUGAAUAAAAACGAUAAUAAUAUACAUAAUGAAUUUUUUCCAUAUUCACAAAAUAUUACAAAUAACAGCAACGAUUAUUGUAUGAAUGACACACACAAUUUAAAUAAUUAUAAUGAAAGUGACAACAUGUUUACUACUCAACUUGAUAAUCAAAAUUUACAAUACAAUGAUGAACAUACUAUAAAAUUAAAUAACUUUUGCAAUAUACGUGAUAAUGACGAAAACAUAUAUAACAACAGCAGACUUGACAACAACACUUUUAACAACAAUUUUAACAAUACUAUGCAUAGAAAUAAUAAUAUAUAUAAAUCAGCAAUACCACGUAAACACAACUCCAAUACAAACAAUAAUACUACUAUCCAUGAUUUGGAAUUAAAAGAUUUAUCUAUAUCUAAAAAAAAAAAUAAAAAUGCAAAUAUUCAUAAUAAAAAUAUACCUUUGCGAACAUUACGUGAUUCGAGAACAUAUAAUAAAAAAAAUAGAAAGUCAAUAAGUAAUGAUAAUAAUAAUAAUAAUAAUUAUAUUACUAGCUGUAAUAGCAAUGAAAAAAGAUUAACAUAUUCGGAAAACUUAAGUCCUAAAAAGGAUUAUAAUAAAACACCAAACAAAAAUGAUAUGUUUAUUAGUAAAGAUUUAAAUAAUUAUCCAAUUUAUUGUGGUGAACAAACUUAUACUGUUCCACCUACAUUUAUGAAUGUGGAAUAUUCUAAAAAUUCUAUAAAUCGGAACAAUGUAAUAAAUAAUAAUAGGUCUACUACUACUACUACUACUUGUAGUAAUAAUACUAUUAUUAGUAAUGAUAACUACAAUUUUACUGAUCGUUUUUAUAUAAACAAUCAUUUUAUGCAAACAGAUAAUAACAUAAACAUUUCUUCAAACACAUUAAAUGAUAUUAAUAAUAAACGAAAUUAUACUUUUAAACCCACAUACAAUGUGGGUGAUAAUUUAAAUACCCAUAACUUGUUGGAAAACUUCGAUUUAAACAACAAUCCAAUCAUACGUGAGGAUACAUCUUUACCUUAUUACCAUAAAAAUGGUAUGGAUUCUAUUAAAUCAUCUGCUUUGUUUAAUACGAUUAAAAAACAAGAAAACGAAACCAACCGUGAUUUUAAAAACAAAGGCCUAAGCAACAAUGUCUCAUGUAAUAACAUUAUGUACAACAUGGACACAUGCAAUAGCAUUACCAGUAAUAGUAGUGCUAACAAUGGUCGUGAUUACGAGCUUGAUGCUUGGAUAAAUAAUAAUAGCAACAUAAAUGAAAAUUUUAAUAACAUAAAUUAAUAUUAUGAACAAAAUAAAAAAUCGGACGUAUAUAUAUAUAUAUAUAUA